rnacentral:rRNA from 2 species
AACGCUGGCGGCGUGCCUAAUACAUGCAAGUCGAACGCACAGCGAAAGGUGCUUGCACCUUUCAAGUGAGUGGCGAACGGGUGAGUAACACGUGGACAACCUGCCUCAAGGCUGGGGAUAACAUUUGGAAACAGAUGCUAAUACCGAAUAAAACUUAGUGUCGCAUGACACAAAGUUAAAAGGCGCUUCGGCGUCACCUAGAGAUGGAUCCGCGGUGCAUUAGUUAGUUGGUGGGGUAAAGGCCUACCAAGACAAUGAUGCAUAGCCGAGUUGAGAGACUGAUCGGCCACAUUGGGACUGAGACACGGCCCAAACUCCUACGGGAGGCUGCAGUAGGGAAUCUUCCACAAUGGGCGAAAGCCUGAUGGAGCAACGCCGCGUGUGUGAUGAAGGCUUUCGGGUCGUAAAGCACUGUUGUAUGGGAAGAACAGCUAGAAUAGGAAAUGAUUUUAGUUUGACGGUACCAUACCAGAAAGGGACGGCUAAAUACGUGCCAGCAGCCGCGGUAAUACGUAUGUCCCGAGCGUUAUCCGGAUUUAUUGGGCGUAAAGCGAGCGCAGACGGUUUAUUAAGUCUGAUGUGAAAGCCCGGAGCUCAACUCCGGAAUGGCAUUGGAAACUGGUUAACUUGAGUGCAGUAGAGGUAAGUGGAACUCCAUGUGUAGCGGUGGAAUGCGUAGAUAUAUGGAAGAACACCAGUGGCGAAGGCGGCUUACUGGACUGCAACUGACGUUGAGGCUCGAAAGUGUGGGUAGCAAACAGGAUUAGAUACCCUGGUAGUCCACACCGUAAACGAUGAACACUAGGUGUUAGGAGGUUUCCGCCUCUUAGUGCCGAAGCUAACGCAUUAAGUGUUCCGCCUGGGGAGUACGACCGCAAGGUUGAAACUCAAAGGAAUUGACGGGGACCCGCACAAGCGGUGGAGCAUGUGGUUUAAUUCGAAGCAACGCGAAGAACCUUACCAGGUCUUGACAUCCUUUGAAGCUUUUAGAGAUAGAAGUGUUCUCUUCGGAGACAAAGUGACAGGUGGUGCAUGGUCGUCGUCAGCUCGUGUCGUGAGAUGUUGGGUUAAGUCCCGCAACGAGCGCAACCCUUAUUGUUAGUUGCCAGCAUUCAGAUGGGCACUCUAGCGAGACUGCCGGUGACAAACCGGAGGAAGGCGGGGACGACGUCAGAUCAUCAUGCCCCUUAUGACCUGGGCUACACACGUGCUACAAUGGCGUAUACAACGAGUUGCCAACCCGCGAGGGUGAGCUAAUCUCUUAAAGUACGUCUCAGUUCGGAUUGUAGUCUGCAACUCGACUACAUGAAGUCGGAAUCGCUAGUAAUCGCGGAUCAGCACGCCGCGGUGAAUACGUUCCCGGGUCUUGUACACACCGCCCGUCACACCAUGGGAGUUUGUAAUGCCCAAAGCCGGUGGCCUAACCUUUUAGGAAGGAGCCGUCUAAGGCAGGACAGAUGACUGGGGUGAAGU